rnacentral:lncRNA from 1 species
CGGGCUUGCGCUUCUUGGUCUGACCCUGUGCAGACAUCCCAGUAUGCGGCUGCACCUUCUUAUUCUUCUUCUUCUUGUUCUUCUUCUCUUUCUUAAAGGGUCGACGACCAGAAGAAGACCCUCCCACAACAUUCACCGACUCCUUAUGGAGCUGGUGAUCCUUCUCAAAGUUCUGCAGCAACCCCAACAAGCCGUGGUAGUUUACUGCAGGCUUUGUCAUCCGAAAAUGAGUAAGGAAGAGGAGGAAGGACUUGGG